rnacentral:lncRNA from 1 species
GAACGCUCGGAGUAGCUUCCUUUGAUCUUGAAAUCGCAGUUGUCCUGUUUGGUGUUUCCGGCUAAGAACACGUCAAGUUGGGUUCUUAACUGGAACAUACUCGAUUUUUUAAGCUCGAACAGGAGAUCUUUGGAAUCGUUGCUCGCUCCACGGUAUGCAAACCACCUUCUAUGUGCGCUCAAUACCUAAUAUUCGAUCGAUUGAUUGUAUUUGGCCUUUGGGUAAUAUCUAUUCAUUUUAAAACUUAAAACUGUAUCUAAGUAUAUACCUUCGCAUGCAUGGUGACGACUGGGUUGCCAUCGUGGUCGUAAAGGAUCCGACGAUCUCUUAAGGUGAGGACUUUACCUUUGGCCUUCAUCAUCACGGUUUGGUUGAUGUCAGUGACCACGAAAUCGUCUCCCAUGGUCAUGAACUUCUGGGUGAUGGUCAGAUCCACCGGGUAAGGAGCGGCGAAUCUUGGAUCAACGACUAUCACGGGACCGCAUGCGUCUACCGGAUUGGAUUGUGGUGGUACAUAUGACAUCCCCGGUGCCGCCAUCGCUCGAAUCCGGCAGACAGCGAAGAUAGGUUUUAUAGCAAGAUAAGAGAGGUAUGGACGAAUGUUUGUCGGUUUCUCUUAAUCUUUAUCCAAAUUAUUAAUUUUUGGGUGAAUUUCAUUUAUACCCACUCAAAUGUUAAUUCACCAUUAGACAUCAUUAUAUAUAUUUUUUCCAAAUAUACCCUUUUAUUGUUUAAUAAUAAAUGAUUGGACUGAUGAUCAUUGAUUGUUUUAAAACCGUUCGUGUAUGUUUGUACAUAAGAUCUUGAAGUUAAAAUACAUUAGGUUUCAACUUUCUCUAUGAUGAUUGUUGGUCAAAAUUUCCAUGGAUGAAAUGUAUAUCUCUUUAAUGUGCUUGAACACAAGGUUUCCACCAAUGUGUUUGAGUCAUCCCUUAACAGAAUUCUCCAGAGGUUAUUGUGUACUCCGGCGGCGAUCGCAAACUCCAACUUCGUCUCCACGGUAAUAUUUCCAUUGGCAUUUCGUCGAGCAUGAAAUUGGUACCAAUCUGUUUGAAAUCUACCAAUUGGAACAAAUUUAAGAACAAUUGUAAAUUUCUCAGACAACGAUCUUGAAUAAGUUAGGAAAUCUGAUUUUUGUCGAUUUGGGGAUUUGAUUUGGGUAUUGGCAAGUGAUUAAAGGUUUGAAGAUGAUAAUACCUGAUUGUUGAGAGGUUGAACGUUCGAUAAGUUUCCAUGGCAUAACAGUAAUUUUAAAUUAAUCAUGAAGUUAUAUUUGGAACAAAAAAAAUCGAGGGUAUUUUUAAUCGUCGAAGCAAGCUAGCCAGCUAGAGCUCGGUGGUCAUAAUUUUUUUUUAUUCAAUAUAGAAGACGUAAUGAAAUUAUUUUAAUGUUUAAAUGUCGAAAUUUUAAUUUUAAAAUAACUAAAGAAUAAAGAUACAAAUGAAAUUUGAAAAAAAAAAAUCAAAAUCAAAGUUGUAUCAUUAUAAUUUAUAAAGGUUCAAUCUCAAUAUUUCGUUAUUAAAUAUUUACAUGUAUGCGUUACUUGGACGCAAAUUAAAGUGUUUAGCAAAAUGUUAAAUAUAAUAUUAUAAUUAAUUCAUUUCCAACUAUUAGAUACAAUUAAAGCCCAACAAGCUGCAAUCGUUAUCCAAUCCAGUGACUAAUCCAGCCCAAGAUGAGCUAACUUCAAAAUCUCAAUUUCUUCAGGCCCAGGGGCCAGGGGUAAGUAUAUAUUUUUAAUUAAUUACAGAUUAAUCACGAAUUAGUCAAAUCAGUCGCUAAUUUGAUUUAAACACUGAUGUUUAUCAUUGCAGUAAGGAUUGGUUGCAAAUUAAUUAAUGGUUUAAUAUAAGUAUCUUGGCGAAGUUUUAUCUUAUUGAUUUUUACACUGUUGACAUUAGACUUCUUGAUGAUUAAUUGUCAAAAUACAUUUUUCAUUUACGUAUCGAAAAAAUUUCGAAUUUAAAACAAAUUUUAGAGUUUAUCUUAAAGUUGAUUGACAAUAGAAAAGAUAUCGGUAUUUAUUUUGGUAUUUCGUUUGUUGAAAUUAACACUCAUAUUACCAAUUGUGACUGUUUGAGUGGAAAAAUCUUUUUUCAACAAUAAAUCUUAUAAAAUAAAAUUAUCACAAUCGUAUAAAUGAUGUUUGGUUGAAUUAUAUUUUAAUAUCAUAUGUUGAAAAAGAUUUAUUUUUUAAUGUUAAUAAUAAUGAUAGUAUGACACCUCGUUUAUAAAUUAUAACUGAUGGGGGUGAAACCCGACCAGUACUCCAAGACGCGCAAGCAAGCGCCAAGCGGGGAACUCCGCGGGAAACCGGACCGGAACUCAAGUGCGCAGAGCUCUGCUUCGCUAGGAAUCCUUUCGCUCCAAAUGACCUGCCUUUAAUGAGUGGGGAUGCCUCCUAUUUAUAGGGGUUCUCGUGGGGGUAAUCUGGUCAUUUGGGCAGUAACCGCCUAACUGCCUAACUGAUCAGAUUGGUGCCCGAGAUCGACUUUCUGGGGGUCGACUUUCCUGGUGAUCGACUUUAUUUAGAAGUCGAUCCCAGGGAAGUCGAUCCUCAGGAAGGUCGAUCUUCCUAGGAUUCGACUUGGGACCUCCCCAACCCUAGAAUAGGUACCAUAACUCAUCUUAGGCUAUCCGGACUUCUAGUUGCUGGUAGGUUGUGACCGGGUUCGGGAUACUGUAUCACCAGUACUCCCCCCUCCUCUGCGUAUUAGAUACUUUGGGAUACGUCUUUUAGUACUAUGGUCUGUGUGUUGGACCUUGUACUAUCAGUAUUCCCCCCUCUUUGCGUGCUGGGAUGUGGGUUUUUGGUGAUGUCCCAGGAUGCGAGAUCCUCUCUCACCAGUUCUCCCCCCCUCUCUACGCCUGCGAGGUUGUAUUUAUGCUUCUACGGAGGUUAUCACGCGCUUUUACUAACUAUUGUCCGGUUUGUCCUAGCCGAAGCAUACUCCUUGCACACCUGCCUAGCCCGAUUUCCGUGCGGAACCCUGCUUGCCCACCUUGACGCCUUGCCUGAGCUAUCUCCGAGCAAUGUUCGAAUCCCCUUCCCUGUGGCGGGUUUUGAGAGUUGUCUCUUCUUUUUAUAAGUGAAGUUCUCUCUUUCGAGGUCUCUUGCCUCCCUCAAUCUGCUGUUCCUGCGGUUGAGGUUGAGUGUGCUUCCUCAUCUACCUAUGUUCUUCCAUAGGUGAGGAUUAUAUUUUGUAUACUUGCCCCCUCCUUUUGCUCGCCUUUCUGCGACUGAGGUUGAGCUUGAUCCCUCGUCUACCUACGUUAAUCCGUAAGUGAGGGUUAUUUUUUGAAUACUUGCCCCCUCCUUUUGCUCGCCUUUCUGCGACUGAGGUUGAGCGUGAUCCCUCGUCUACCUAUGUUCAUCCGUAGGUGAGGGUUAUUAUUUGAAUACUUGCCCCUCCCUUUGCUCGCCUUUCUGCGACUGAGGUUGAGCGUGAUCCUUCGUCUACCUACGUUCAUCCGUAGGUGAGGGUUAUUAUUUGAAUACUUGCCCCCUCCUUUUGCUCGCCUUUCUGCGACUGAGGUUGAGCGUGAUCCCUCGUCUACCUACGUUUAUCCGUAGGUGAGGGUUAUUAUUUGAAUACUUGCCCCCUCCUUUUGCUCGCCUUUUUGUGACUGAGGUUGAGCGUGAUCCCUCGUCUACCUACGCUCAUCCGUAGGUGAGGGUCACUCCUGAGUACGUCCCUCGUCUAACCUACGUUCUUCCGUAGGUGAGGUUCACUCUUGAACACUUACCCCUCUGUCUACGUUUUUUGUAGAAGAGGCGUAUGUUUGGCUGAUGUGUCCCCCGUCUACCUACGUUCUUUCGUAGGUGAGGUUCACCUUUUGAGUUCAUCCCUCGUCUAACCUACGUUCUUCCGUAGGUGAGGUUCGCUCUUGAGUACGUCCCUCGUCUAACCUACGUUCUUCCGUAGGUGAGGUUCACUCUUGAACACUUACCCCUCUCUACGUUUUUCGUAGAAGGGGUGUCUGUUUAGCCGAUGCGUCCCCCGUCUAACCUACGUUCUUCCGUAGGUGGGAUUCGCUUUUGAGUACAUCCCUCGUCUAACCUACGUUCUUCCGUAGGUGGGGUUCACUUUUGAGUACAUCCCUCGUCUAACCUACGUUCUUCCGUAGGUGGGGUUCACUUUUGAGUACAUCCCUUCUCUAACCUACGUUCUUCCGUAGGUGAGGUUCACUCUUUUCCUUGGGUGGGAUACGCAUUCUGACUCUGUUACCAUUAAGACUUUCUCUGCCCACGUUCUUCCGUAGGUAGAGUUAAUUUGACGUCCUACUUUGUUACUGCGUCCAGUAAUGGUAGGAGUUCAAAUAUCUUAGUAUGGCUCAGUUCAUUUUGCUGCCGUAUCGCCGCCCGAGUUGUGGACUUCCACGAUUCCUCAGGAGUAUUUCGUGUUACACCCUCCUGUCUUGGUGUGCUUCCGCCGCUUUAACUUGUCAGGAUCCCUUUUUCUACAUCCUUCCUGUGUGGGAAGAAAAAGUUGAUUCCCUCCUAUCUUGGCGUACUUUUCGCAACUCCAACUUGUCAGGGUUCUUUUUUCUACAUCCCUUCUGUGUGGGAAGAAAAAGUCGAUCGCCUUGUUGAGUUUGAUCGACUUUUGUGAAAUGUCGAUCCCAGUGGUGCUCGUCGACUUUUGUCAAAAAGUCGAUUCCCUGGGUCCUUGCAUCGCUUCCUUUGGAAAAAAGUCGAUUCCUGAUGCUUUGGCCCAAAAGUCGAGUCCUUGUGUCAAAAAGUCGGCUUUACCCUUUUUUGUCCUUUUGUGUUGUCCUUGGGUCUAUAAAUAGAACCCUUAGGUCCUCCUUCUCCUUCAUCCAUGGCUCUUCUUGUGAGUCUCUUUGCUGAUUUUAUUCAGGGGGAGAUUGAGGAGCUGGAUCGAAUUUUGAAUAUUUUGGAUCCUCGGUCCUCAGCCUUGGAUCUUCCUUCUUUGCGCCAACUUAUUGUUGAGCGGCAGAGUGUUGUUGUUGCUGUUAGGGAAUCCAUCUUUGAAGAAUGGUCUGGUGGCGAUCUUCUGCCUGCCUCUUCUUCUGUUGUCCCUCCUCGUGGUCGACGUCGGAGGCGUCCCCGCCGCGGUGCUUCCCCGCUGGACCAGGUUCCUCGCCGCUUGCGUCGCCGCAUCAACUUUAAUUAGGAAUCUGUAAUAUAUUUUUCAUUCAUCAACUUCAAUUUUGAAUAAAGAUACUUUUUUACCUUUUCCUUUAUUCGACUUACACCUUUACUCUGAAGUACGUCAUUGUAGUCGAUGCUUUCUUCUGGUUAGUACCAUACUUUUCUGAAGAUGUCGAGGUUUAUACAAAAAGUCGAUCUCAUCUCUCCCUGGAGAUGUCGAUGUUUGUAAAAAGUCGAUCUCAUCUUUCUCUGAGGAUGUGUGUCGUGUGACUGCCGAUUCUAUCAUUUUCUGAAGAUGUCGAGGUUUAUACAGAAAGUCAAUCUCAUCUCUCCCUGGAGAUGUCGACGUUUGUAAAAAGUCGAUCUCAUUUUUUUUCUGAGGAUGUCGAUGUCGUGUGACUGCUGAUUCUAUCCUUUUCUGAAGAUGUCGAAGUUUGUACAAAAAGUCGACCUCAUUUCUCCCUAGAAAUGUCGAUGUUGUUCAAAAGUCGAUCUCAUCUUUUUCCGAGGAUGUCGAUCAGAAUAGUGCGGGAAUGUCGAUCCUGUCCUUCUUUUUUGAAGGUUUCGAAUUCCUUGGUAAAUGCCGACGUCUAUCCCCCUUCUAGGAAUGUCGAACUGAAUUUUCUGUGGAAUGUCGAUCCUGACCUUCUAUUUUGAAGGUUUCGAAUUCCUUGGUAAAUGUCGACGUCUAUCCCACUUCUGGGAAUGUCGAUCCUGACCUUCUAUUUUGAAGGUUUCGAAUUCUUUGCUAAAUGUCGAUGCCUUUAUCCUGAAAUGUCGAUCAGAACAAUGCCGGAAUGUCGAUCCUGUCCUUCUUUUUUGAAGGUUUCGAAUUCCUUGCUAAAUGUCGAUGCCUUUGUCCUGAAAUGUCGAUGUCAUCUGGUCGGAUUUUAGGGUUUUUCUCGGACCGGGUCGUCUUGGGCCUGCCAGACCCGUGGGCUUUCCAGCCCAACGGGCGAACCCGGAUGAACAGUGCCCGCGACGGUUCGUCUUCGACUUUGCCCUAUAAAUAGCGGAGGGGGGUUCAUUUGCUUCCCACCUACUUCCUUCGCUCCGAGUGAUCGACUUUCUUCGCAUCGACUUCUGGUUUCUUCGCUUCGACUUCCAGUUUCUCCGCUUCGACUUCCAGUUUCUCCGCUUCGACUUCCAGCGCGCGUAAGGCUUCGACUUGAGCCUUGGAGGUGCAACUUUCUGGGGUCCGACUUUUGUCGUCGGGCUCUUCUGAGGUUGCACCGGGUUCGACUUCCUUGGGAUUCGACUUUUCUGAAAGUCGGUCCUUUUUCGAAGUUGUUCCCCUUUGGACUGUGGUCCGACUUUGUGAAGUUUGACACCCUGUCAUCGACUUUCCAAAGUUGGAUCCAUUUUUACUGGGAUCGACUUCCAUGGGUUUAGCCUUUGCUUUCCCGAAGUGAUUCCCUUGGUUCGACUUCCUGGAGUCCGACUUUUGUCGUCGUCUUCCUUGGGUCGGAUUUGCUGGGAUUGACUUCCUGAGACCCUUGUCUUCUGAAGGUCGACUUCCCUGGGAUCGACUUAUGAGGUUGACUUCCCUUGUAUUAGUUCGAUUCCAUGAAGUCUGGAUCGACUUUUUCUUGGGAUCGACUUUUGCAAACUUAACAUAAUUAAGCUAACUGUUAUGUUCUUCGUGCAGGUUGUUAUCAUGUCUUCUGACAAAAAUACACAGCAAGACCUUCCUCCCAACGAGGAGCGGGCUAUUAUUGUUAGCCCUCAGGUUCAGACUGCUCCUGCCGUGGUCGAGCCUAGAAUUGAGUCGCCUUCCUCCUCUCCUAUUGGAAGUAAGCAAAAAACUCUUUCUACUCGUCGUACGCGCAAGUCUGUACCUAGUAAGUUAUUAUUUUUUCUUCUGUAACUUACCUUUUAUUUAUUUUUGUUUGUAGGUUCUUCCCAUUCUUCUUCCACAAGUUCGAGUUCUAGUUCGGGGUCUUCUACGUCCAGCUCGGGUUCUUCCUCCUGCAGCUCCUCUUCUCCUGAGCGGGAUGUAGAAGUUGGAGGCACUCCUCCUUCUACCACUAGGACUCCUCCUCCAACUGCCAUCAUUUUGGCUUCUAUUCAUGAGGAGGUUCCUAUUGUCUAGGCGCCAUCUCUGGCUACAGAUGGUUCUGCUCAACUUCCUCCCGAAGUCUGUAGUCAGAAUAUUCAUGUUCUAGAGGACUCUCCUUUAGGUUACCCUCCUGAGACAGAGGAGAAGUACCCCUUUCCUUCUCCUCUUAAGGAGAAAAGCGCCCCAUCCUUCUAUUGGGAGAUGGAUGGCUCUUGGCGCCAGUGGUCCGUUCUUAUUCGCAACAGUUUCCAUGUUGUCCCUAUCCUCGACCGGGGCGAGUACGGGACUGGGUGUGGUUCUUUCUGUGCAGUCUCUCUGACUGAUAUUCCAGGCUAUCCUCUCUCCUCCAAUGCGGGUAGAUGCUCUAAUACCCUUUCUUUAGAUGCCGCCCAAAGAAUUUUGAGGGGUUUAGAGCUUAGAGAGAGAGUGUACUGGGCCUACCCUUCUGAGAAUACCGGUGAUGUGCCCCCUAUUUUAUGCUGGCACUUCACCGUAUCUACUUCACUAACUUUGUUAGUGAAAUCCUUUUGUAUUCCGGAUUGUGUAUUUCUCAGAUGGGUGCCACCUUUUUCUUUUAUGUCAGGGGCUUCAUGAAUGUUCUUAGGGAUGUUGGCAUAAUUCCAACUGCUCGGCUGUUCUUCCACUUCUUCUCCUUCCAGAAUCCGAAGAAGGGCAGCCCUUUCAUUGCAUGUGCCAGCCGUGCCUCCUCUGUUACUCACUCCGCUCUCUUGAAAGAUCCUUCGACCAGGCGGAACAAGAGUGAGUUUAUUUUUGUGGAUUGCAGGCUAUGUCCUGGUAGCUGACUUCUUCCUGCAUCCAGUAGUGAUCGUAGGCCCACUCCCCGUCCUGUUUUGACCGAGGAUGAGGGAGCUUUUGUACAAAGGCUGGCCUUCCUACACCCUAUCGUUGUGCCUGUCGGUCACGCGAUUGAUGAUACUUUUAACUGACAAGGUCUUCCUUUGUUUGUUUUCCCUUUCUCUCUUUUUUUUUACUUGUAUGCAUUUUUACUAACUAUGUUUUUAUUUCUCGCAGAUUUUUAUAUGCAUAAUCCUGGAGGUGUCCCUGAACGCGUGGGACAAAAUGAGACGGGCACAAAGGUUUAUGCGUCUGCCUCAAAGCCUUCCGACGCCCAACAUCUGAGGCGUCGUGCCCACGAGAACGCCUAUCGAGUUGAUUCCUCUCCUCCUACCGGUGACCAAGCUAAGGAAGGGGAGGUACCUGUGAGGACUCCUCCUGUGCAGUCUCCUUCUGCUACCAAGCUCGCCUCCUUCUUUCGUACGCCGGAAGAGGAGCGAGAGAGAACCGCUGGAAAGGAUGUCCAGCCAGAAGGAUCUGAGGGGAAAAGAAGCAAAAAUAAUAAGAGGAAGACCCCUCCUCCACCAAGGACCGACCCCUCUCCUCCGAGGAAAACGAGGAGACACUACCCUAGGCGACGAACUCCUCCUCGUAGGAAAUACUAUGCUGGGGAAUCCUCCCGGGGUCGGUACUCAUAUGCUUCUACCCGGGAGACUCAGAUGCCGGGUUAUCAAGGUUCCCAUCCUCGGAAUUAUGGGACCAAGUUUCCGAUAGUUGCUGACACGGAUGCCUCCCGAACUACGUUGCGGACCAUAUCUGGGUAUCCGAUGGACCGACUUAUCGAAGAAGUCGGACAGAAUUUAAGCAACGUAAGUACUUUUGUUUUUAUCAUUUUUAUGAGCCUGUUCUUACUUAUCUUCUCUUUUUGCAGCUCGCUUAUUUGUUUCAGGGCCGCCUCUCUUCCUUGUCUCGUCUUCGUGACUACCAAUCCUUGGAAGACGGGUUGAAGAGAGUGAAGCGCCGAUGCCAAGAUCUGGAAGGCGAGGUUGCGCAGAGAGCUUCGGAUGCCUCCACUCUUUCUGCCACCAACAAGAAGUUGGCUGAGGACUGGGCUGCUCUAAAUCAUCAUUUGAGAGAUAAAGAGCAAGAACUCUCCAAGGUUAACGGGGAGUUGGAGGCAGUGCAGUUAGAGUUUGACGCUCAGCGUGCCACGGUUUCAAUCAAAGAGUCUAUGAUUGCUGAGAUUACCAGGCAGGCUGAAAAUACUGAGGCAACCCUUCGUUCUACUAUGGUACAGAAUGAUAUUUUUACUCAACGGUUGAACGAAGGGGAAACGGAAAGGCAUAAGCUCUCCCAGUCGCUAAGUGAUUGCCAAACUGAGAUGAAGCGACUGGAAGAAGAAGACCAGAAGAAGACUGAGGCGCUCCAACACAUGAACAAGCAUAUGGAGGAGAUCCGGACUGAGUUCCUCGCUAACGUGCGAGACUACAAUGAUCUGGUGGACCUGGGCCCUCAUGUGUUUCCUGGUUUUGAAGCUGAAGAUGUCCACCGCUGGGCCCGCAAGUACCCAAAAGAGGCCACUGAGAUCCGAGAUCGGGCACUUGCGGAACACGAGGAUGAAGAUGAAGAAGAGGAGGCUUCGGGAGACAAUACUACUGCUACCAUUGACAAAGACUUUUUUGUAGAAGAUCAAGAUGACAAUGGUGCAGCGGGUUCUAAAGACUCAUCCCUUCCUCGUAGUGCUAAAUAGACCUUCCAUCCUGUUGUAACCUGCAUUUUACAUUCCUUUGUAUUUCUUUUUAAAUCAAUAUACGGAAUGUGCUUUUAUCUUUCGAAUGUUCUAAUUAUUAGUAAAUAGCUAACUAAACAACACAUUAGUUAAGUAGUUCAAACUAUUUACAACGAGUAACACAUAGUCCUACUUAAUCGUUAAAAAUACAACUAUAGGUUAUCUGCGUGCCAAGUGUUGGGAAUGCAUGUUCCAUCUUCCCGUUUUAACUUGUACGUGCCUGGUCGGAGUUUCUCCUCCACCACAUAUGGUCCUUCCCAGUUUGCGCCUAGUUUGCCUUUAGAGCAGUCCUUUCUGCCGACACUUGCUCUUCUCCAUACUAGGCUUCCUUUUCUUAUCGCUUUAUCCUUGACAUUUUUGUCGUGAUAUCUAGCGAUACUUUGUUUGUAAGCUGCAUUCUUUGCCUGUGCAUUAUCCCUUAGUUCAUCCACCAAGUCUAGAGUUGUCGCGCAUGAUCUCAUGUUUUCUUCCAUGUCAUAGGAUAACACUCUGACUGUUGGUAUGCUUAGCUCUGUCGGGAUUAGUGCUUCCAUUCCGUAUGCUAGUGAGAACGGGGUUUCCCCGGUGGGUGUCUUUUCAGUGGUUCUAUACGCCCACAUGAUCUCUGGUAGAAGAUCUGCCCACGAACCUUUGGCCUGUUCGACCUUUUUCUUCAGUCCCUGAACAAUGGCUCUGUUUGUGACCUCUACUUGCCCAUUACCCUGUGGUCUGUAUACCGAUGAAAAAUGGAUUCUAGUGCCCAUGUUCUCGCACAAUCUCGUAAACUCCCCACCGGUAAACUGUGUCCCAUUAUCUGUCACUAUGUGCAUUGGAACACCGAAUCUGCACACUAUGCACUUGAAGACAAACUUUGUUGCUGCUCCUUGAGUUAUUUUGGGUACAGCUAGUGCCUCGACCCAUUUGGUGAAGUAAUCGACAGCCACAAAUAUGAAUUUAGCCUGGCCUGUCGAUACUGGAAAUGGUCCCACAAUGUCUAACCCCCACAUUGCGAAGGGGAUGGGGCUUUCUACCCCUGUUAGUUGAGUUGCGGGAUUUCUCUGUAUGUUUUUGUGUAUUUGGCAGGCCUUGCAUUUUCUUGCGAAUAGGACUGCAUCUUUUUUCAGUGUGGGCCAGAAGUAUCCCUGCCUUAUUAUUCUUUGGGCUAGAGACCUCCCCCCUUGAUGUAUUCCGCAUACCCCCUGAUGAAUCUCCUCUACAAUAAAUUGUCCUUCUUCUGUCGAGACACAUUUCAUUAGAGGUCCAUCGUAGGAUUUCUUAUACAGAAUGUCACCGAUCAGGCAGAAUCUUGAAAUGCGUGUUUGUAACUUACGCCUUUCAUUCUUGUUCUCAGGAAGUUUCUGCCUUUCGAAGUAUUCUAUCAAGGGUUUCCUCCAGUCUUCUGUCUGUAUUGUGACCAAGUUACAUGAAGGUGUAGAUGCUGAGUCAACUAGUAUCUCUCUCUGUCCCCCCUCGAAAGCAGAUGCUAGCUUUGCCAGGGCAUCAACUGAGUUGUUCUGACUCCUUGGAAUCUGUUCUACCUCCACCUUGGUGAAUUGUUUUUUGAUUUUUUCUAGUGUAGCUGCGUACUGUACGAUCAGAGGUUCUUUAACUGUGAACUCUCCUGUGAAUUGCCGAGCCACUAGUUGAGAAUCUGUUCUAAUGAUUACUGAACAGGCUCCCAACCUUUUGAGGAUUCUCAUGCCUUGGAUUACAGCUUCGUAUUCUGCUAUGUUAUUUGUAGCUGAGAACUGUAAUCUGAUAGAAUGUUCAUAUAUCCUUUGGUCUGGAGUGAUUAUCUUUAUUUCCACUCCUGCACCUGUACUGCAGCUUGAGCCAUCAACCUCCACUAUCCAAGGUUUUUCUUUGCUUUCUUGGGUCAUGUCUACAAUAAAGUCUGCUACUGCUUGCCCUUUGAUGGUUGUGGCAGGAACAAAAUCUACAUCGAACUCACUUAACUCCAGUGCCCACUUCGUCAAUCUUCCGGAAGUAUCUGGCCUGUGGAAUAUUCUGCGUAGUGGAUGUUCUGUUAAGACUUUAAUUGUAUGAGUCAGAAAGUAUGCUCUGAAUCUGCGUGCUGCAUGUACUACUGCCAGGACUAUUUUUUCCACUGGAGGAUAUCUUGUUUCUGCCCCCUGUAGCCUUUUGGAGUGAUAAUAUAUCGGGAUUUGUUCGCUGUCCCUUUGACAUAUUAGAACUGCACUGAUAGCUUCCUCUGAAGCUGCUACAUAAACGUAUAAUUCCUCCCCUAUCUUUGGUGAAGUUAGGUGUGGUAGUGAAGCCAGAUAUGCUUUGAGUUGUUGAAAUGCCUCAUCGCAUUCUGAGGUCCAUGUUAUUGCCCCUUUUUGACUAGUUUUUAGUAACUGGAAAAAGGGUUUGCACUUGUCUGCUGUUUUGGAAAUAAACCGACUUAAGGCGUUGAUUUUUCCAUUUAGCUUCUGUACCUCCUUUAUUGUUCGAGGUGGUGUUGUUUCUAGUAUUGCUGUUAUUUUAUCUGGAUUUGGUUUUAUCCCUUUCUGCCCUACAUAGAAUCCAAGAAAUUUUCCUUCUUGUACUCCGAAACUGCAUUUGGCAGGGUUUAACCUCAUCCCGUAAUUCUGCAGAGUUUCCAGGGUCUCUUUCAGAUCAUUUGGGUGUUCAUCUGCUUUUUUGGAUUUUACCAGAAUGUCAUCUACGUAUGCCAGGACAUUUCUUCCGUCCUGCUUUUUGAAAACCUUGUCCAUCAGCCUUUGGAAGGUUGCUCCUGCGUUUCGUAGGCCGAAAGGCAUGACUUUGUAGCUUAUUUCCUCGCUUGGGUACGAUCUUUUCUUAGAUUUUGGUACCGUGGUAGUCUGCAUCACCUUGCGCGAGUAACUUCUGCUUUCUCCUACUGAUCCUCCACCGAAGAUUAAAUUUAUCACUCUUCUUUUGUGGUCAGUGUCUGAAUCGGGACUUCUUGAGCGUUGGCGCUUACCCUUGUUCUUUGGGUCCUUGCAGCCUUGUCACCCCCUCUCUAUUUUGUUUAUGUAUUGUUUCAGCUUUCCUUCCUUCACUUGUGUGUCUAGGAAGGUACUUAGCUCCCUGCAGUUUUCUGUGUUGUGCCCGUAAUCCUUGUGGAACUUGCAAUACAUGUUCCUCUUUGUUCGGGCUUCUUUUGUUGCAGGGUUUAACUCUUCUGGUUGAGGAAACCUUAUUCUUCCUUUUUCCUUAUUGUAAAUUUCCUCUUUUGGAGUGCUGAAAAUCGUGAAUCCUAAGUCUUUAUACUUCGGAUACCUUGGUUUCCCAAAUUCCUCAGAUGUCUGGUAGACCUUUCUAUCGUGUUUUGGUCUCCAGGAUGAUUCUCCUUUUUCAAACUUCUGGAAUUUCUUUUUUGGUGCUUCAUAUGCCUUUUUGCUGCUUAUGACACCUCUUUCUUUUUCUUUUUCUUUCUCAUAUUCUUCAGAAUUUAUAUAUUUCUGGGCCUUUGUUAGCAGAUCUUCCAUGCAUUUUACAUUACUAACAUUUAGCUUUAUUGUAAUGGUGUGUUCAUGUCUAGCCCCUUCGAGUAUGCGCAUAUUGCGAUUGUUGUGUUUAGGUCGGAGAUUUUCUGCAUGGCUUCCGUGAAUUUGGUUGUGUAAUUCCGGAGCGUAUCUCCAUUUUGUUUGAUUGCAAAUAGUGAUUCUGUGCCCUUUCUGACCCUUGUAUUUCCACAAUGCUGGGCAAUGAACUUCUUUUUCAAGUCCUCGAAACUUGUUAUGCUUCCUGGCUGCAGUUCGACGAACCAUCUGUAUGUAGGUCCUUUCAGUAUUCCUGGGAAUGCUCUACAUAGGAUGUCAUCCCUUGAUGUGGCCCACUGCAUUGCCCUUACGAACAUAUUUAUGUGGUCUACUGGGUUCAUCUUUCCAUCAUAGAUCUGCAGCCUGGGUAGCCUGAACUUCAGAGGUGCUGGUUUUACCAUCAGUGAUUUAUGUAGGGCAUCCAUGCCCACUGGCCAGUUUGGGACCUCGCCUCCUCCUUCCGUGUCUCCCGUGCUUUCUUCAUAUACAGGUUUUUUAGGAGGAGGUUUAGGCUGCUCCUCUGGUUUGCGAGGUAAUGGUGCGCUGGAGUGUGCUGCCCUAUGACUUGACACCUCCUGUUGCGCCUUGGCCUGCUUUGAGGUCUGAGCUUUUGAAUGGAACAUUGACGCUUUGGAUUUUUCAAUAUUCUUUAUUUUCUCGCUCAUUUUUGCUAUGGUUUCCUUUAUCUUCUCCAGCUCCUCUAUAGGCAUCUUUACGAACCCGUGAGUGGUUUCUGAUGCUGCAGCCCUUGGUUCCUUACUGCUCGUGGGUUUCUCUUUCUGAGGUUGUUCUUCCGAGGGCUUCUCCUUUUCAGCAAGGAGUCGGAUGGCCUCAGCUAUUUCCUGUACCGUGAUGUUCAAAUUCUCCCCUCCUGCUGACACUUGGGGAGUUUGCUCGGGCUCACCCUCGGGUUCAGCCUCAGGUCCUGUGGGAGUCCUUUUAUUUUUGUUGCCCUUGGGCGGUCGACCCACUGGCCUUUUAGUUUUUGAGUUGCCAGGCUGUUGCUCUGGCGCCUCCUGAGAAUUUGCUCCUCCUUGGGAAGUACUUCGUGUUACCACCAUCCUGGAGUGUUCGACUUUUCUUGGGAAAUUCCCUGAAAGUGUUCGACUUUUUGCUUGGAGAAAGUCGAUCUUCAAAAAAGUCGUUCCCUUGUGCACUUGGAGGAUUCCUUGGAAGUCGUAACCUGAAAGCGUAGCUCCUUGAGGAAUCGACUUUUUCCCUUGGAAGAAAAAAGUCGAUCUUCUGAAAAGUCGAUCCCUUGCUGGCUGAUUUCCUCGCAAGACUCCCUAGCUGACGACUUGGAAAAAAGUCGAUCCCUUUUUUCGAAAAAGUCGAGGAGCUUUUGUCGUGAGUAUCUUUGAAUCACAGACGGCGCCAACUGAUGGGGAUGAAACCCGAUCAGUACUCCAAGACGCGCAAGCAAGCACCAAGCGGGGAACUCCGCGGGAAACCGGACCGGAACUCAAGUGCGCAGAGCUCUGCUUCGCUAGGAAUCCUUUCGCUCCAAAUGACCUGCCUUUAAUGAGUGGGGGAUGCCUCCUAUUUAUAGGGGUUCUUAUGGGGGUAGUCUGGUCAUUUGGGCAGUAACUGCCUAACUGAUCAGAUCGGGGCCUAAGAUCGACUUUCCAGAGAUCGACUUUCUGGGGAUCGACUUUCCUGGUGAUCGACUUUAUUCAGAAGUCGAUCCCAAGGAAGUCGAUCCUCAGGAAAGUCGAUCUUCCUAGGAUUCGACUUGGGACCUCCCCAACCCUAGAAUAGGUACCUUAACUCAUCUUUAGGCUAUCCGGACUUCUAGUUGCUGGUAGGUUGUGACCGGGUUUGGGAUACUGUAUCACCAAUGAUAAUUGGAGAUUGGGUGAUCAAACAGUCAAUGUUUGAUUGAGAUUGUAGAGUGUAUAAUCGUAAGGACUAUUGAGGUUUAGAUGUGUUUAUAUAGCUAGGAAACACCCAACGGUUAUGUUGGUUGAGUGUGUUUAAUUAUAGUAAUAAAUGAUUAUGGGAAUAAGAGAUUAUAUGGAUAAUUAAGAUAUGAGAAUAUAUAAAUAAUGGAAUGUGAAGAGUUAUGAUUAAAUAAAGGGGGUGAGUGUAAUAUUUAUUAUAAUGUUAUAUAUGUGAAAUAUUUAAUGUAGGGGUAUAUCUCUAAUAAGACCGUAAGAUGAAUCAUUACAGUAAAAAAACCUGGGGAAAAGAUUUUCUCAAGAUUGCAUAAUGUAAUGAUAAUUUUUUUCUCCCAUCGUUCCAUAAGUUUGAAUUCAAUCACCUUCAAACAAAUAUCGUGAAAAUAACCGCAAAGUUCAACGAGAACCAAAGUCACUACAGGUUUUGUUGAUUUACGUAAUGCAAUAGGAAGUAACUGUUGCAUUAUAAUGUGACAAUCAUGACUUUUCAAUCUGAUAAAUUUUCUCUCUUUCAUUUUAACGUUUCUAGAAAUGUUGAAACAAUAUCCAUUGGAAAGUCGUAGCGAAUGAAAGACCGACAGAAAUAAUAUCUUUUCUUUCACCGUCUAGUUGAAACACGUAGUCGAAAUGUCCCAUUCUUCUCCCCAUCGAAUAAGAUGAAGUUCUUUUCGAAUUCCCAUCGAUUGUAAAUCGAACCUCGCAUUCAAAUUAUCUUUCGUUUUACCAUCCAUUUCCAAAAUCGUAUUCAAAAUGUUACCACAUACAUUCUUUUUGGAGUGCAUAAUAUCAAUAUUAUGUCGUAGAAGCAAUGUCUUCUAAUACGGUAAUUCAAAAGAAAUACUCAUUUUUUCCAUUCUUUAGGCAAUGGUAUUUUCUUUGUUCUUUUCGUCGGUUUAUAAUCUUUUAGUACAUUCGAGAUUUUACCAAAAAUUAAUGAAUCUCGAAAUGGAUAAAUUUGAAUAUAUAUUUCGGAACCUGUCAGACAUUUCGGGACGACUCUAGUCUCGAUCUGAUUAUUGAAACUUUUUUUAUCGUUUCUGUAAUAAUGUUUCAUAUCUAAAAAUCGACGAUGUCCCAUACAACUUUAUUUUUUUCCAUGUUCUAAACGAAUACUUUCGGUGUCAUUCUUACAUACUGCAUAAGCUAACUUUUCUUUAGUGCUCCAACCUGAUAUAUCACCAUAUCCCAGAUAAUCAUGUAUAGUCCACAGAAGUGAUACAAACAUUUGAAAAGAUUUCUGCGUACGCACAUCAAAAGCAGUAACACCAUCUGUCCAUAAAAUCUUCAGUUAUCAAUAAGCAGUUGAAGAUAUACAUCGAUAUCAUUCCCUGGAGCUGACGGAUCGGAAAUAAAAAGAGACAACAUGUAAUUCGGUUGUUUCAUACAUAUCCAAGGUGGAAAGUUGUACGGUAUAACAAUCACUGGCCAAGUACUAUGAGAUAGAGAUUGCUGACUAAACGGGUUGAAUCCAUCAGUUGCUAAACCAAGUCCAACAUUACGAGGUUCGGAUGCAAACGUUGGAUGAACCUCGUCAAAUUUCUUUCAUUGUAAAGAAUCAGCUGAAUGACGAAGAAAUAUGUCGUUCUCACGUUUGGAGUGGUGCCAUAUCAUUUUUUCAGAAAUUUUGGAACACAAAUACAAUCUCUUCAAACGUAGAAUCAACAGAAAAUGACGAAGAUAUUUCGCAGGAACACGUUAAUUUUUCUGAACGCCUUCGACGACCCACCUAGAUGUUCCACAAUUUGGGCAAGAUUCUGCGUCUACAUACUCAUUUCGAUAUAAAAUACAAUCGUUGCGACAUGCAUCGAUUUUCUUAUAAUUGAGCCCCAAGUCACGAACAACCGACUUCACAUGGUACAUGAUUUUUGGAAUGGUCGACUCGUCAUUUGGAAUAGCGCGAUGCAUGCUGGAUAAUAAUUUCUGAAAACUUUUAUCACUACAAUAAUUGUCGCACUUCAUUUGAUACAAUUCCAAGAUAAAAGAGAUUUUCGAAAACUCUGUGCAACCUGGAUAUAACUGUUCUUCACCUUCUUUUAGACGUUGUAAAAAUGAAUUAUCAUAUCUGUUCUCUGGAUCUUCAUCGACUAGAUCUUUAUCGAUUGGAUCUUCAUCGAUUGAAUCUUCAUCGACUGGAUCUUCAUCGACAGGCUCGUAUUCGAGAGGUUCUUUUUCAAGAACUUCUUUUUCGACUGUAUUCUUGACUACAUCAUGUUCUCCGAUAGUCACACGAACCAAUCCAAUCAUGUCGUUACGAGUUUUCGGCAUUGUCUGUAGUUGUUUAAUAUUUUUCUCAAUAUAUCUCUGUAACUCUCCGUGACGGGUCCAAGUGAGGUAAUGUUUCAAUCAACCGUUCAUGAAAACAUGUUUCCUCAUCUGCUUUAUAAGAAUCACUUCACUAUUUGUGCAACACAAGUAGGGACAAGGUAAAUAAUUUUUUGGGUGAGUCGAAUUCGAAACGGCAUAAUUAGUGAAAGCAGUUAAGCCUUCACCGUACCGUAUUCUUUCGAAAAUCGAUCUAAACUCAUCCAAGCUUUAUCGGGUACUUUCAUUAUUUUAGAUAUUAUCCUAACAAAUUAAAUUUUUAUCAAAUAAUUAAUUAGAUAUAAUUUAAUUGACUAUUACAGUAUAGUUCAAUUAAAAUGAAGUUCAUUUUCGGAUAAUCUAGCUAAUUUGGAUCAGUUUCAUAAACACCUUUCUUCGGAGUUGCUGGUUGCAGAACGGGAGGGGUCGGUGCUGGACGAGAAGGUGUCGGCGGUGCAGGAGGGACCGGUGCUGGACGAACAGGUGCCGGUGUGGACGUACAGGUGCCGGUGCUGGAUAAACCGAGAGAUAAAACCGAAAAGCAUCUUGGGGAUUGGGUGGUGGAGCCUUCUUAUAAGGUAAUUACUUCACUUUACGUGCAUUUUGACAAUCUAAAAAAAAUUUAUUAGAUAUCAUUAAAUAUUAAAUAAAUUUAAUUUCAUGGCAAAUUAAUCAUUAUUAAUUCAAUUUAAAAUCAUUAUUUUUUUUUGCAGCAGAAAAUUCACUAAAUUCAUUAAAUUUAAUAAUUAUAAAUUAACACAUUUAUAAUUUCAUGCAAAUUAUUUAUAUUUUAUUACAAUUAAUUAAAUAAUUUUAAAAUAAAAUGAUUAAAUAAUAUUUCAUUAUUAAUAAAUUUCAUGCAAAUAUUUCAUUAUUAACAAAUUAAUUUCAUGAUAUUAAUUUCAUGCAAAUUAAUUAAUAUUUAAUAAUUGUUAAUUAAUUAAUAAUUGUACGGUAUAAUAAUUGUUAUUUCAAUUGAUAAUUAAAUUCUUAAUUAAAUUGGUAAUUUAAUAAUUUGCAAUAAAUUUAAUUAUUUAAAAAUAAGUUGAUUAAAUAAAAGAAUUCAAUUUAUACAACAAUUUAGCUUACUUCAAUCAAAACUUUAGGAAUUCUUGAUUUUUCAAAACCUACAAAAAGUCAUAACACAAUAAUUUUUUAAAACAAUUUUUAAAAUAUUUAAAAACAGUAUAUUAAAUAAAUAAUUAAAUUAUCUUAUAAAUUAUUUAAAAACAAUAAAAUUAAUAAUUAUAUAAUUUAUUGAUUAUUUAAAUCUCUAGAAAACAGUAAAUUAAUUAAAUUAUUAAAUUGUUUAAAAUAUUUUUUAAAUUAUUAAAAAACAGAAAAUAAAUAAAUAUUUAUUUAUUUUAAAACAUUUUUAAUAUUAUAUCAUUAUUAUUUUAAAACAUUUUUAUUCUUAUUUAAAAAUAGUAAAUAAAAUAAUUAAUUAUUUAAAAACAGUAUAUUAAAUAAUUAAAUAAGUAUUAAAAAUGAAGUAAUUAUAUUAUUAAAUAAAUGUUAUUAUUAAGUAAUUUUAAAAAAAUUUGAUCAUCUUUAAAUAUAUAUGGAGUCCAACACUUUACGAAGAAACAACUUUUUUUUAGUUUUAACGAAAAUGUUUUUCAUCAAACAUGUACACUUGAUACGUUAACAAAAUAUUAACAAAAACCCAAAUAAAAUAUUAAAGAACCCAACUCCAUUAAACAGUAAAUCUAAGUCAAUCAAAAACCCAACUCAAAAACUCAACACUUAUCAAAAACAUUCAACGAGAACCAAUUAUAUUAGCAAUAUACUCAGAAAUUUAAAUUGCCUACUUCUAACUUCUCACUGUGAAAUUCCAGUAUUAACCUGCAUACUAAUGAAUGGAUUUUUUUACAUUCGUAAUCCUUGGAAUAAUACGAGGUUCAUUGUCUGCUUUAGUUUGAUCUUUGAAAAUUUGGAAACCAAUUCUCAUAAAAUCUGUUUAAAUCGAUUGAUUAUAGAGGUAAAUCUGUUUGGAAACUUCAUACUUAAAUUUAUAUGUAUAUGUUAUUCAGUGUCAAACCACAUAUGAGGAGGAACAAAAAUAACCGAUGAGGAUGAAGAACAGUAGAUGAAGAAAGAAAAAAACUCCAAAAACCAAAAACCGUUACCUUCACAGAUGUUGGGAUCGGCGAGGCGUGUGGAAGUGGACACCGACGACGGUGACGGCGACGGAGACGUGACCGGCGGAAGGGAGUGGACACUGGCGACGGCGACGGAGGACGAAGAAGAACACGAUUCGACGAAGGAAGGAAGAAGAACGACGUGAGGCGUGAUCUGUCUGGAUUUGUGGUUUUAAUAAACCCCAAAACUUACAUGGAGGAUUUCCGCCAUGUAAGUACACUUAAGUGCCGUCAUAUAAGGUGGAAAAGUCCGCCCAUUCGAAAUUUGGGCAGGCUUUUUACCGUCCGAUUCUCCGAAAACUUAACAUGGCUGAUGUCCGUCAUGUUAAGUCAAUUUAAUCGGGUAAUCGAGUUAAUUUUGGAGGGGAUUUCGAAAUUUUGGACGGGCCUUUUUAGAUGACGGAUUUCCACCAUCUAAACACCGCUAUCGAAACUAAAUUGAAACCGCCAUCGAGCCCAUGUCUUACCUCGGCAGACUAAAAUAAUUGAUGGUGGAUAUCCGCCAUCAAAAGAACUGAAUUAUUGAUGGCGGAAAUCCGUCAUCAAAAGGCCGUCAUACAAUGUCCUUUUUUUGUAGUGUCUCCGUCAAAACUGAUUUCCACUACUGUAAAAUAUAGAUUAACUUUUGAUAAUAUGAUUAAUUCUCAAUUGUAGAUAGAGUUUAACAAAGGAUUAUUUUGUUCAUUUCAGAAGGAAUAUUUAAGACCGAAAUAAAAUAAAUUAUUGAGAUGAAAUUGUUUAUAACAACAAUAAAAAUGGUUUUGGAAUAAUUAUCUUGAUAAAACAUAAAUUAGUUUAAGAUUUCAAUUCCUGUUAUAGAUUUACAAAACACCAGAAUUAAAGUUAAAAUAAAAUCUGCAUGAUUAAUGGCUAAUUCAUACAUCAGUGCAAAAACUCUAGCAGUUAAAUGUAAUCAGUUAGAUAGCAGGGUCGGGUGCGGAUCCAGCACCCUCUACGAACUAUAAUAACUUCUUUGAUUUUGUCAGAAGUUGUAGCUUUAUUUUGUUCGUGCAACAGUUUAACAUUUGUCUUUAUGUCGAUCAAAAUGUUAUUUAUAUUUUUUUCAACCUCCUUUAAUUCUUCCAUCUGCCUAGCCAUAUUCUUUAAAAAACUUUCAUGUAUUCAGUUUAGAUAGUCUUGGAGAUGGAAAGAGCCAUCUGUGACAAUGGGUGGAGAGAAUCGAUUCCUCGACGCACUUUAAGUAGAAAAAAAGGUCAAAACAUCAAUCAUUAAUAAAAAUCGUUAAAAUUUAAAUGAUUACCUAUACUUACAUUUUAUUAAUUGAGUCGCGAAAUGAUUUCAGAGUACGUUUACUCGCAGCAGAAACUCGAAUAUUUUUCUUCUUCUUUUGAUCUGACGAGACUCCCUUGUGUUCUAUUUUCCCUUCUCGAACAGAUUUUUGUUGGUCAUUGUCAAUCUUCAUUUCCUUUUCGUAUCGUUCUUUAUCCUUGGCUGCCAUUUUCUGAUAAACCUACAACAUACAUACAAUUCCAACAUAUAUAAAAACUAAAUAGUUAUAGCAUAAAAAGAUCAUAUGUAUAUAUAAAACCAAUAAACUUACAGAUUUCUUAAAGGGCGAGAGAUACCUCCAUUGAUAACCAAUAUGCAUGCAAAUCUCUGUCCGACUUCCAAACUUUGCAGCUUUCAUCUUUGGUAAUUGAUUCAUUAAGUAAAGUGUAUAACCACUGCGGUUCUUCUUUGGUUUUGUAAGAUCAGCGUUUUUCAUUGAUCUCUUUAUCUUCAAUUCUCUUCGAUUAUGAUCACGAGUUAGUGUGGCAUCCAUACUUCUUCUUUCAUCUUCACCCAUUUGAGAUUGUAAGUUCAUAUACCCAAGAUCAGAUUACUGCAAAAAUAAUAUGGAAAGUUCAAAUUCUCGCGACCACGGAAAUUCCGUCAAUAUUUUUCAAUUUAUAAACCCAGAAAAAAAUUCAUACAAAAAAUUAUCAUGUUAAUGUUAAAACAUAAACAAUAAGUCUUUGAUCCCAUUACCAAAUUUUCUUAAGAGAUCGAAAAUAUACUUUUACUUACACCAUGUAAUUAAUAAAAAUGAAAAGAUGAAAUUUUUUAUUAAGAUGUUUGAAAGUUUUUUUAUUAAAAAAUUUGUCACAAAAAAAAGCAUUGAUCGAUUUUUCAAAACAAAAUUACUAGAAAGUUCGAAAAUGGAUGAUGUAUUAGGAGAAAAUGAACAAGUACCUUAGGAAAAUGAUGAAGAAUCAAAUAUUAUAUCAAACAGCAGAAAAUACUUAGAUGGCAGGAUGGUCUAAUGUAUUUGAUUUACAUAUAGAGAUUUCAAUGUAAAUAUACAAAAUGUCAUAUUUAUUAAAAAACAUGGAUUUUUUACUAUAUUAUUUAAAAUACAUGGAUUUUUUAGUAUAUUUAUUAAAAAAUAUAGAUUUUUUACUAUAUUUAUUUAAAAACAUGAAUUUUUAAUUUUUUACUAUAUUUAUUAAAAUACAUGGAUUUUUUUACUAUAAAGGCCUAAAUCCAAUAUUUAUUUUAUCAUGUUUAUGCAAUCUUAUAAAAUCUAAAAUGUUUAGAGUAUUAAUUAAUAUGAAUAUCUAGAUUUUGAAUCUAAAAAUUUAAUUAUACAUCUUGCUGCCAGGAUUUUAUGAAUCCAUCUAUUAUAAAGAAAGAUUUUUUAUGAUUUUUUGUUAAUAAUAUGCUUUUCUUUUAAAUUUUCAUCAAAUGAAAAUGAUGAUGUAAUCUUGCAAAUGCUUUUUGCAAAUCAUAUUCCUUUUUGUAUCGUGUUUUAUUUGUUUUAUACUUUAAUAUUGUCCCUUCUAGAAUUAAUAGUAAUAUGUCCAUAAAAUAUUUAUGCAAAAAACCUAAUUCUUCAAAAUAAUUUUGAUACUCUGAAUUUAUUUCUUCUAUUUUUAAUUUUCCUAAUUUCUUGAUUAAUUUUAAAAUUUUAAUGUUUGAAUUGUAUUUAUAUUUAAAAUUUAUAGGUUAAAUUAUACUAUUGCAUGUAGACCAUAUUAAUAUCCUAAGCAUAGUAACUAAUAAUUUAAUUUUAAUCAUCAACAUACCUCAAAAGUAUUUGGAAAAUUCUCGGUCCGCCCUUGUUGGGUGAGUCAAGCCUAGAAUGAAUAGAGCACAUGAAAAAAAAAGAUUGAACAAGUGACGAAAAAAAAUUGGACAGAGUAAUUGGCGACGAAGAAUCACUCUAUAUAUGAAGAUGAAAACAUGGUGAAGAUCUAUUAGCACAGCGGGACACAAAAACUCGAAGUAAAAAGAUUACCCAUUAGAAAUAAAUUGAGAAAAGCAGACCGAGAGCAUGGAGAGAUAGGACUGAAGAAAUCGGCGGAUUGAGAGGUAGUUAUUUGUUUUUUUCGGAAGUUAUUUUGAGUAGGGGUGUAAAUGUGUCCAGAUCUGGGAGUAGGGCUAAUUUUAGCUCCAUUAAUUAAGAAUUUUGGACCCAGAGGUACGGGUCCUGAUCCGACCAUUAACUAAUCCGGAUCCAGGUCUAGAUUAGUCAGACCCGACCGGACCUGGGAAUUAUAAUAUAUAAUAAUUAAUAUAUUAUCUUCAACUUAAUUUAGUGUUUUAAUUAUAAAAAUACUCAUUAUAUUUUCUUAACCUUAUUUUAUUUUUUUAAAUACACAAGUAACACAAUUACAAAACCCUAUUCUCUAGGUUUUUCUUUUCUUUCUUUCAACAACUGUGAUUUUUUGAUUCUAUAUAACUAAUUAAAUAUCUAAAGACUGUUACAUAAUAUUUUGAAUUUUUGUUUAUGUUUUACUGUUUUAGACUUUUAGUAAUUUUUUUGUAAAAUUUUUUUGUUAAAAUUCCCUAUAUGGACCCAGACUAGAUCGGCUCAGACCCGGGUUUUUUAUAGGUCUGGGUUGGGUCUGGGUUCAAAUAUUUUCCUUCUGGACCCAGACCCAGACUAACUUUAUGGGUCUGGGUCCAAGCCCGUCAGCCCAAACCCGACCCAUUUACACCCUAAUUUUGACUGAUAGAUUUGUUGAUUUAAAAAAACUAUAAAUCACUUAAGGAUAUAAAGAAGAAAUAAAAUGAACUAAAAUACUACAUAUUAAAAAUUUAAUAUCAAUUGAUUUCUAAUUCAAUGAUAAAACUAACAACCUCAUUUAUAAUAAAAAUACAAUUAACCUCAUCUGAUAAAUUUUUUUAGUAUUAAAUAAAUUAAAUAUUAAAAUUUCAAAUUUGGAGAUAAAUAAGAGUUAUUUAUUAUUAUAAAAAUAUCAUUUAUCUCUCCUCAAACUUCCGGUCCAUUAGGGAUGAAAAAGGGAAAGGUCGCUCCUGACCUGCCUCUUUCCACACUCCGAUAGAACUGGGAUAGGGGUAGAAAUUUCACCUUGAAAAUACUGUUAUGCUUCGUUGCCUCGGUCAUUUCUUGGGGUGGGUCUCGGAAGUGGAAAGAUGGGAAAUUAUUAUUCUAUUUGCCCCACUCCAUCCUCUGCCCCGAUCGUCCCGUCCCGCCCUGGUCAUAUUUUUCAAAGUGGGUCUCGGGGCAAGAUUACCUCUUCCAUGCACAUCCCCGAUUUUGCCUUGGUCUUCGUAAACUGGGGUGGGGCGUUUUGUUCCAUGGCCAUCCUCUCUCAAUUUUGCUCAUUUUUAUCUUUUCUCAUUAUCAAAUAAUAUUUAGUUAUGUUAUCUAUAUCACCUUUAGGUAUGUUUAUAAUAAUAAAUUUGGCACAUUUUAUUAUCAAUUUAGUUAUAUUUGGCACAUUUUAUUUUUAUAUUACUUUGUGAUGUUUCAGUGGAAGAUUAUAUGAGAUAACAAUUAUUGACUGAAUGGGUUAAAUCAAUUAGUUGUUAAACCAAGUCUGACAUUACGUGGUUCGGAUGCAAACUCUUGAUAAAACUCGUUAAAUUUCUUCCAUUCUUAAGAAUCAGUACGUGCAGGUGAAUACCCAAGACAACAAUAAUAAUUUGAUGUUGGUUCAAAUUUGGUUCUUAAUUUGACUCUUAGGAAUCAAUGAAAAACAUAGUGAUUCAAAUACUCUAUAAUAACUCAAAUAAGGAUUUUUGUUAUAUAAUAUAGAGAUUAAUGGUGAUUCAAAUUCUAACGCUUUUGAAGGGAGUCUAUCUAUUGAAUAGAUAGCAGUUGAACAUGCCUCUACCCAAUAUUAUUUAGGUACAUCUGAUUGUGAAAAAAAACAUAUGAUUGUUCCUAUUAUUUGACAAUGCCUCAUUUCUACCAAUCCAUUUUGUUCUGGUGUAUAUGGUGACGAGAAUCUAUGAAUAUAUAAUACCUAACUUUUUACAAUAUUCUUUAAACUUUUGAUUACAAAACUCUCCACCUCCAUCUGUUUGAAUUGUUUUGAUGGGAACUUCCACUACAAAAAAUCAGAGCAGUUCUGGCGCCAAUCUCCCGGCGGCCUGGCCGCCGGUAAAUACGACCAGCGGCUAGGCCGUCGGAAUUUUACAUUUGUCCGCCGGCAUAAUUUUCCCUCGUAAAUGAGAGAAAUGAGCUGGCAGCCAGGCCGACGGUCUAUUUUUUUGUAGAAAUUCCAACGGCCUGGCCGCCAGCUCCAAUUUCCCCAACGGUCAGGAAGAAGUGAGCCGGUGGCCUGGCCACCAGCUCCAAUUUCAUCAACGGUCGGGAAGAAGUGAUCCGGCGGCCUGGCCGCCGGUAUCCUAAAACCCUCAACGGUCGGGUGAAAAAUUGUUGGCGGCUUGGCCGCUGGAUACUUUUUUGGAAACCCUAAAAUUACAACUUGCGCCGCCGUGGUCCCCCGUACAGUCAAACUUAGUCAACUCGAACUUAAGUGUUUCUCGGCGGCCUGGCCGUCGGAAAUUUUUUAUAUAAGAAAAAAAAUUCCAGAAUCGUUUCAUUUUAUUUUCUCCCAAAAUCCUCUCCACUUCUCCCACUCCUCUCUAACUCUCCCCAAAUCUCUCCAGCGAUUUUUCAUCAUCCAUCUCCGGUGAUCUUCGAAGUUUCCUCAAGGUAUGUUAUUCAUCUUCUUUUAGUUGUAAUCUUGUUUUUGUUUUUGUUAUCUAAUUCAUCUUCUUCUUCAUCUUCUUCAUCAUCUUCUUUUCAUUUAUAUAGUUACCUUCUUCUAAUCCGGCCGGCCACUUCUCUCCGGUCAUUGUCGAAAUUAUCUUCAAGGUAUGGUUUACAUUAUGUUCAUCUUCUUCUCUUCUUUUUUUGUUGUUUUUAAUUUGGGGGUUUAUGAUUUUAUGGUUUAUGAUUUGGUGGUUUUUUAUUUGGGGGUUACAUUCCAAUUUUAAAUCAUACUUUUCAUGCAUUGUGAUUUGUCUUUUGAUUUAAAAAAAAAAUCAUGCAUUGUGAAUUUGUGAUGGGGAUGAGUGUGUGUUUAGGAAAGCACUAGUUGUGAGUUGGGUUAUUAUUUCAAUUAGAUUAUAAGUUCUGUUUUAAUAAUUUUUUUUUUGUUUGCUCGAAUUUGAAUUUAAGGGUUAAUGCAUGGUUGCUGGAAUUUUAAUUUAAAGAUAAUGGUUGCUGGAAUUUUAUUUUUUUUUGGUUGCUGGAAUUUUAAUUUAAGGGUUAAUAUGGUUGCUGGAAUUUUAAUUAAAGGUUAAUUUUUGCUGGAAUUUUUUUUUUAGGGUUGCUGGAAAUUUUAAUUGUUAUGGUUGUUUUUAUGGUUCAUUUUUUAUAAGUGUUAUAUGUGGUGUUUUUUGUUGUUAGGAUUUGCGGAAAUUUGAAUUGAUCGUUUGCGGAAAUUUUAAGAAUUUUUGUUGCGGAUAAUUGAAAGUCAUUUGCGGAUCAAUGUAAUAAUUUAUUAUUAUGAUUUUUAUAUUUUUGACAUUAAAUUUGCGGACAUUUGUUGAAUUGAUGAUGUUAGACAUUAAAAAAUGAAAUGCAUGUUUAGAAAUUUUAUAUAUGUAGAUUGGAAGGCCAUGAAAUGAAAUGCAUGUUUAGAAAUUAGGGUUAGGGUUAGGAUUGUAGAUUGGAAUGCCAUGAAAUGAAAUGCAUGUUUAGAAAUGCCAUAUUGAAUAAUGUGAUUGUAAUUUUCUAUGUGAUUGUAAUGUGAUUGUAAUGUUUAGAAAUGCCAUGUUAGGGUUAGGGUUAGGAUUGUAAUUUUCUAUAAGUGUAAUUAAUUUGUAAGUAAUUGUUGAAUAAUCAAUUAUUAAUUAUUAAUUUAUUUAAUUAACUAAUAAUUAAUUAAGAAAAUAUUGGAAAAUCCAUUAAUAAGUUUUUAUAUUAAGAACAUGAUUUAAAAUACAAUGUUGAAACAAUUAUUUAAAAAUUAAAAUCAUUUAUUUAAUUAAUAAUUAUUUAAUUAAAUUUUAAUAAUUAAUUAAUUAAUAAUUAAAAGAAUUAAUAAUCAGAUUUUCUAUAAGUGUGAUUGUUAGUUAGUUUUUAAAUAAUUGUUGAAUAAUCAAUUAUUAUUUAUUAUUUAUUUAUUUAUUUAAUUAACUAAUAAUUAAUUAAGAAAAUAUUGGAAAAUCCAUUAAUCAGUUUUUAUAUUAAGAACUUCAUUUAAAAUUCAAUGUUGAAAACAAUUAUUUAAAAAUUAAAAUCAUUUAUUUAAUUAAUAAUUAAUUAAAUAAUUAUUUAAUUAAAUUUAAAUAAUUAAUUAAAUUUAAAUAAUUAAUUAAUUAAUAAUUAAAAGAAUUAACAAUCAGAUUUUCUAUAAGUGUGAUUGUUAGUUAAUUUGUAAGUAAUUGUUGAAUAAUCAAUUAUUAAUUAAUUAUUUAUUUAUUUAAUUAACUAAUAAUUUAUAAUUAAUUAAGAAAAUAUUGGAAAAUCUAUUAAUCAGUUUUUAUAUUAAGAACUUGAUUUAAAAUCCAAUGUUGAAACAAUUAUUUAAAAAUUAAAAUCAUUUAUUUAAUUAUUAAUUAAUUAAUUAAUUAAUAAUUAAAAUAAUUAACAAUCAGAUUUUCUAUAAGUGUGAUUGUUAGUUAGUUUUUAAAUAAUUGUUGAAUAAUCAAUUAUUAAUUAUUAAUUAAUUAUUUAAUUAACUAAUAAUUAAUAAUUAAUUAAGAAAAUAUUGGAAAAUCUAUUAAUCAGUUUUUAUAUUAAGAACUUGAUUUAAAAUCUAAUGUUGAAAACAAUUAUUUAAAAAUUAAAAUCAUUUAUUUAAUUAAUAAUUAAUUAAAUAAUUAUUUAAUUAUUUAAUUAAAUUUAAAUAAUUAAUUAAUUAAUUAAUUAAUAAUUAAAAGAAUUAACAAUCAGAUUUUCUAUAAGUGUGAUUGUUAGUUAAUUUGUAAGUAAUUGUUGAAUAAUCAAUUAUUAAUUAUUUAUUUAUUUAAUUAACUAAUAAUUAAUUAAAAAAAUAUUGGAAAAAUCUAUUAAUCAUUCUUUAUAUUAAGAACUUGAUUUAAAAUCCAAUGUUGAAACAAUUAUUUAAAAAUUAAAAUCAUUUAUUUAUUUAAUUAAUAAUUAAUUAAAUAAUUAUUUAAUUAAAUUUAAAUAAUUAAUUAAUUAAUAAUUAAAAGAAUUAACAAUAAGAUUUUCUAUAAGUGUGAUUGUUAGUUAGUUUUGAAAUAAUUGUUGAAUAAUCAAUUAUAAGUGUGAUUGUUAGUUAGUUUUGAAAUAAUUGUAUGUACCUAAUAAGGCUUGGUUAACUUUGAACCCUUGUAGUCAAGGAUUCAGAGAUGGCCUGACGGCGUUUGUUCAAUAUGGUUUACGAAAAUGUCAUGGUUUAUAUAAGGAAGGAUAUUUACCAUGUCCAUGUAGAGAUUGUACUAAUAGAAAUGUGAUUCCAAUUGCCGAUUUACGUCAACACAUCUUCAUGAAUGGUUGGUUGACACAUUAUGUUAUAUGGACGAAACAUGGUGAGCGAACUUACGAUUCAGAACCAAACAUAGAAAAUAUAGUUGAAGAUGGACCAAAUGAAAUACGUAAUUUGGUUUGCGUGGCGAUGGGUAGACCUGAUGAGAUUGAAAAUAUUUCAGAUAUUCCAGAUCAUAAUGAUGAAGAUCUUCCAGAACCGAAUGAAGAUCUUCCAGAUUUAAAUUAUGAUUCGACUUUUGUUAAUCGGUUGAAAGACGCUGAACAAAAAUUAUGGCCCGGUUGUACUGAAUUUACAAAGCUCUCUUUUAUUUUGAAAUUAUUUCAAUGUAGUAAGUGUAUCAAUCAAUGGUCCGAUAAAUCAUUUGAGAUGUUGUUAUCCAUUUUACGUCGAUCUCAUCUCAAUAGAACGGAAACGAUCCCGAAGAAUAUGUAUCAAGCUAAGUCAGUUGUUCGUGAUUUGGGGUUACGGUAUGAGAAGAUCGAUGCAUGUCGGAACGAUUGUAUCAUUUAUCGUAAAAAAUAUAAAGAUUGCAAAAGUUGUCCUACAUGUGGUGUUUCAAGGUGGUUGAACGAAGUUGAUGAUGAUGAAAAAAGAAAACGGAUUCCCGCCAAAUAUUUGAGACAUUUUCCGUUGAUACCACGACUUAAAAGAUUGUUUUUGUGUAAAGAUAUUUCUAAAGGAAUGACUUGGCAUAAAAAUGAUCGGAAAAAAGAUGGAAUUCUUCGUCAUCCGGCAGAUUCAUUGCAAUGGACACAAUUUGACGAUCGAUAUCCGGAUUUUGCUUCUGAACCACGUAAUAUCAGAUUGGGACUUGCAAGCGAUGGAUUUAAUCCAUUUAGUAUGAUGUCAGUUUCUCAUAGCACGUGGCCAGUCGUUCUUAUGCCUUAUAAUCUUCCUCCGUGGAUGUGUAUGAAACAGCCCAAUUUCAUUUUGAGUCUUCUAAUUUCCAGGCCUACCUCACCUGGAAAUGAUAUAGAUGUCUACUUACAACCACUGAUUGAUGAGUUAAAAAUUUUAUGGACCACUGGUGUCACUACAUAUGACGGUGGUUACUCAGAAUAGCUUUCAAAUGCAUGCUGCAGUGAUGUGGACAAUUAAUGAUUAUCCUGGAUCUGGUGAUCUUUCUGGUUGGAGCACGAAAGGAAAAUUGGCAUGUGCAGUUUGUUCUGAAAAAACGAGUAGUGUUCAAUUGAAAUAUGGAAAGAAAUAGUCUUUUCUUGGAAAAAGACCAUCCGUAUAGACGUAAUAAAAAGGAUUUCAAUAACAAAAUCGAAAGUGAAGAAGCGCCUAAACGACCCUUGGGAAAGGAGGUAUUUCUGAAUUUGAAUUUUUAUAGAAAUUCUAUUAUUUUCGGCAAAAACGAUGAGAGACCAUCAAAGAAGAAGAUGAAAGUCAUGUCCUUACCUCCUAGAUGGAAAAAAGUUAGUAUUUUUUUUCAAUUGCCGUAUUGGAAGACUCUGUUGAUACGUCAUAAUAUCGACGUUAUGCAUACUGAAAAAUAUGUUUGCGACAAUAUUAUAAACACUUUAUUGGGAAUGGAUGGCAAAUCGAAAGACAAUUUGAGUGCCCGUUUGGAUCUUCAAGAAAUGAAAAUUCGUUCCGAGUUACAUCCAGUAAAGAUUAAUGAUUCUGAAUGAAAAAUUCGAAAGGCGAUAUUCAAUCUCAAUAAUGAAGAAAAGACGAUUUUCUGUAAAGUGUUUCAUGAUCUCAAAUUUCCGGAUGAGUACGCAUCCAACAUCUUAUCAAAAGUGAAAUUGAAAGAAAGGAAGUUUACAGGUUUGAAAAGUCAUGAUUGUCAUAUGAUAAUGCAACAAUUACUUUCAAUUGCGUUACGUCGAUCAACACAUCCGAAGGUAACAACUGUUUUAGUUGACAUAUGCAAGUAUUUCAACGCAAUUUGUUCUAAGGCGAUUGUAGUUGAACAUAUGGAAAUAUUGGAAAAAAACAUCGUUAUUACAUUGUGCAACUUGGAAAAAAUAUUUCCUCCGAGUUUUUUUACAAUAAUGAUACAUCUAGUUGAAACUCUUCACAAAGUUUUCGUACCAUGGAACUCUUCACAAAGUUUUCGUACCAUGGAACUCUUCACAAAGUUUUCGAAGUAUGUUACGGACACGAUAUGUUGAAAUAUCCCAUGUUUCACUGCAAAUGGUACGAAGGAUAUAAAAAAGACGAGUUUGGUCUGGUUACAGUGAAAACGUCUAUGCCAAAAUACGGGGAAGAACCGUUUAUUUUUGCCGAACAAGCUAAACAAUGUUUUUAUUCAAUAGAUCCUAUUGAAUCUAAUAGGAGUUUUGUAUUAAACAGACCUCAUAGACAAAUAUUUGAUGUAGACGAUGUAUAAUGAAUUUGAAUAUUAUUUUUAUUUUAUAUUAUCUUUCGAUUAAUUAGAUUAUCCUUAUUUUAUUUAGAUGUAUUGGUUACUAGUAGCAUUCGUUCUAUCGGUUUUCAUGGUCGUCACGACUCUCGAUCAGAGUGAUCAUUCAACUGAUGAACAAGAUUAUGAUCAUCCGAAUCUACAUGACAUGAACAUGGCUGGGUGCGAUGGUGAUCAAACGAAGAAAAAAACAAGAGAACAAAACAAAGAUCAUGCUGAAUAUCAUCCAUCACAAGGACAACGGUUUGUAAUAAAAUUCAGAAAUGAUCAAAUUGUCCACGAUAGCGUAGCAAGAAAACUAAACAAGAAAUGCGCAAUGGUCGCGAACGAUUUCAAGCUACUACCAAUGGACGUACCGUGGAUUGAACAAGACCAGAAAAACAUAGAUGAGGCGAUGGCAACGAUACAGGUUUAUUAAUUAAUAAUUAAUUAUUAUUAUAGAUUUUAUAGUUAAUUAAUAAUUAAUUUUAUAAUUAUUCAUCGAACAGAGAGAAUUUGAUUACAGCGGGUCAACCUUUGGUUAUCGACGUGUCAAUGAAAGGUUAAACAAAUUAUGGAGAAUCGCUUAUAACUCUUUAUUAGAUAAAUAUAAUAACAAAGAUCUAACAGUCGAAGAAGUUAUGAGAACAUUACCCGACUAAAUCAUCAAAGAACAAUUUCUAAAAAAGCUGAUCGAGAGAAGAUCACCGAGGGGAUUAGUACGUAUUAAUUAAUUUCUUCUUUUUAAAUGCAAUUAAUAACUUAAUUAUUUUCUUUUUUUUAACUUAAUUAUUUUAUUUUAACUUCAUAUAGGAAAUUUCUGAAAUUAACAAAGGCAAUCAGGCUAAACAAACAUCACACAGUUUAGGUUCGAAAAGUCUAGCACAAAGAAAUUACGAAGCUGUAAGUAAAUUAUUUAAUUUCAUAUUUACUUUCAAGUUCUUUUUUCUUUCUUUUCCUAAUUUUAAUAUUACAGGAACAAAAGGGAUUAAAUGAUAUUGAAAUUUGGAAACUUAAUAUAAAGGCAGCUUAUCCAAAAGACGAACGAGUGGUACGUAAUCUUUUAAAUUUAUAAUUACAGUUAAUUACUAUUUGUUUGACUACUUUCAUUUGUUUUUUAAGGAUAAAGCGUUAAAUGGAUAGAUAGUAAAGAAGCCAAAAAUAUGGCUCAACAAGAAAAUAUGACUGACAUGGUACUUAUUUCAUAUUUUUUCCAAUAUAAUUCAUUAGUUAUAUUUACAUUAAUUAUUAUCAUCUUUUCUUUUUAAUUAGGCUCUAAUCAAAUUUGCUAUAACCGAAUUUAUCGGUAGAAGCUCGAAGAAAUCAAGAACAUUAGGAACAACUGGUUCCUCAUUGAGCAAAAAGACAACGCAUCGGAUGAAUGUGGGGAACUUCUGCAUGGAUAAAGGAAAAGAUGCAAUGACCGAAGCAGAGAUUGAAGAUAAGGUCAACGAGGUUGUCGAGAGGGCGAUGGCUCGUCAGAAUGAGGCGAUGGCUCGUCAAAUGGCGUUUUUCGAACAAUACAACAACGCAAUGCUCGCUCAAAAUCCGAACUUGCGCUUACCGGAGUUUCCGCCAAUCUUCAACAACGAUGCAGCGCAUCCCGCGGGAGGGUUCAACAUUUAUACUUCUGGAGCGUCAUCUUCUAGAGUCGCACCGCCUACUCAACUACCAACGCAAGAAACUACGACGCCUCUUCAACAAACUACGCCACAAGAGGAGCACACUACUCCACAACCACGCGGAGGAAGAUCGAUUAUAUUCACGAAAGACGCAUUACGAAAGGUGGUCGCAACUAAAAAAAAGAAGAAGAGCGAAAAAAAGAAAUUAAAUUAGUAAUUAUCGAAUUUAAUUUUUGUUGUACAUUAAAUAUUAAACUUCAAUUUCAAUUUCAUUUUCAAUUUCAAUUUCAAUUUCAAUUUCAAAUUUAAUUUAUUAAUUUCAUAUAUUAAAAAAUUUAUUAAUUUAUUAAUUACAAAAAAAAAAUUUAAUUUUCAAAAGUGAACCAGCGGCUUGGCCGCCAGAAAUUUUUUCUCGGGAAAAUUUUUUUCCUGCCGGGAAAUAUUGACCAGCGGCCAGGCCGUCGAAAAAUUAUUUUCCAAAAAUAACUGCCAACGGCUAGGCCGCCGGGAUAUAAUUUUCAAAAAAAAAUACCGGCGACUAAGCCGCUGGGACAAUUUCUGUUCAAAUUGGAAUCCACAAUUUUUUGCCGACGACCAAGCCGCCGGUAUUUCGCAAUUCCGGCAACAUUACUUCCGGCGAUGGAAUAUCGUCGGCUUGGCCGUCAGGAACCAUUAUACCGGCGGCCAGGCCGUCGGAAUUUGCCGCCAGAACUGCGCAGGUUUUUUGUAAUGUUCUAAGGAUUUUUCUAUCAUGGUUUGAAAGACGUAGGAGUAUAACAAGCGUCGGCAAAAACCCAAAGCCCCCCCUCCCGUCCGGGGGAUGGGGCAGCAGCAACAACAACCAAAGGCCCCGGCAACGCUACAGGCAACGACUUGCAGGACCGCCAUGCCCAGCGGCGGAGGCCGUCGGGAAGCCGGGACGGUCCCGGCUUCGAACCAACGACAGGUCUACCUUACCCUGGGAGGAUUUGAUAACCUUCCAGCAGCAAGGCCAAUGAAGAAGGACACGGCGGCGUACAAAGACGCCAACAGGUUAUGCGAAUACCACCAGGAAAAAGGCGACACGACAAACGAUUUCCUGAACAUGGCCAAGGUGUUGGGCAAGAUGAACCCCCGACUCCACCUGCAAGAAGGGCGGCGAUCAUCCCCACAGGACACCGUACGCCCAAACUGGAACCGGGGGAGGAGGCAGUGGGGGACAUCCUAACAAUAGCGGGGGAGGCGCGUCGCGCGGCACGAACCCGUGGGAGGGAUGCCAGUACGCCACGGACGUCGACCCGACAACCGGAGAAAAACGCCCGCGCCUAGGCGUGGAAAUCAAAUUCACGGAGAAAGACAUGAAGGAUGUCACCACCCCCCAUGACGACUCCUUGGUAGUGACCCCCGUUUUUCGGAAGGGCGACCAAACCAAUGUGCGGCUGCAUAGAGUGUUGGUCGCCACGAGGGCAUCGGUGGACAUUCUGUAUUGGAACGCCUUCAUUGACCUCGACCUCGCCCGAGCAGACUUACUCACGAGAAGAGCCCCCAUCAGAGGUUUCGGGCAGGCGGAGGUCCCAGUGGCAAGUAUAAUAGCGAUCCAUGAUCGUUUGAUCGCCGUCACUUGUUAUUGAACCCAGAUGAUCUUCGAUUUUCAUUGCUAUUAUUGUUAUAAUAUUCUCUGUCCCGGUUUCCGUUGUUAUUGUUGAAAGAUCUAUAGUCUUUAUUUCUGUUUUGACGAUAGUUUUCUUGUAGUUGCCAGCCAAUGCAGAAGGCGUCUCAAGGUUGUUUGCAUUCCCAAUUAUAUUCAUUCUUCGAAGGUAGCUUCUUGCACUACCAUUUGUAGAAAUUUAUCAUCAGAUUGUGAAUGAAGUGAAGAACAAAACGGAUCAAAUUCUGGACCCAAACCAUCAACAACAAAGUCUAUAAUAGUCUUAUCGUUUACUACUUCACCAGCAGCAGCCAAUGAAUCAGUCAAUGCUCUUAUUUUGAUAACAAAGUCUCUCAUUGAUUCAUCAUCUCUUUUCUUUAAAUUUCUAAACUCAUCACGGAUGGAUUGUUGAUGUACGGAUUUCCUUGGUAAUAAAUGUGUCUCUAAUUUCUGUCAACAGUUAUACGCAGUUUCAUGAUUCAUCACUAAAGAAAACAUUGUCGGUCCAACCGCCGCUUGAAUCCAACCAAGAACUGCCUAAUUUUUCUCUAACCAGAUUUGAUGCGCCAGAUUUGGUGAACCAUCAGCCUUCUUUUCAGGUGUCAUUUCCUGUUUUUCGUUGACAAUAUCGUAUACAUGGUUUAAACGAAAUAAAUUUACCAUUUGACCUCUCCGGAAGAGAUAGGUCGCAGCUCCAUCCAAUGGAGUCCUAAUCUAAUGUGAGACCUGAUAUUUAUAUAAAGCAUCAGGGAGAAGAGAAGUCGUUCUAUCAUUGGGAUUAUUAGCUGCUAAUUGUCAAAAACAAGCCACGAACCACAAGCACCCUAAUCACAAAUCAAUAUAACCAAAAUUACAAAAGAAGAGAGAAAAGAAAGAAAAAAUAUAUAUCAACUCUGUAUGUAUACUGAAAUUUGUAAAUCAAAUAGCAACUCAAAUAAACCAAUUUUUUAUGUAAAAUUCACAAAUCAAUUAUUCUUGUUACUGCCAAUCCAAGAAGAAUAAAAUCAAUCAAAUCUUUGGCAGUCCAAGAAUCACACAAGAAAAGAAAGAAAUCGUGUAAGAAUUUGAUUUUGGCAACUUGUAAAUCAUACACACAGCUUGUGCAAUGUUGGUACCAGGGCUUGUCCAAACGGACCAUAGGUCGAACAUGACCUUGGGCUCAGAAGGCCCAGGGAAAUGUCUUAUAAAUACCUCCACUGAUGCAACAGGGAAGAGAAUCGAUAAUUAGUAAGAAUAAUAUUAAAAAGUUUUGUGUGUGAGUACUCUAGCACGAGUACACCAUCAUGCAAGAAUCACAUGAAUCGGCAAGUCACAAAAAGAAAGAAGGGAAAAAAUUAGUCAGUACUAAAAAAAAAUCAACGGAAAUAAAAAAUCUCAAGAUUUCCAAAUCACAGUCUCACAGAAACCUUAACAAAUCAAACAGAAUAAAAAAAUAAAAAUAAAAUCGAUCACCAAAUUUGUAUAUCUCGACGAACACCCGGAAGUGAACAACCUUAAUCAAAGAAAUCUCCAGUGAAAAAACCAGAUCCCGAUGAGACAAAAUCAAAUAGAUUUAGGACGGAAGGAGAGAUCACAGCUAGAGAAGAAAGAAAAUGAGUUGUGAAAUUUUCUUUUCUUUAAUUAACUGAUACCAUUUCAGAACAGCAAUUUACUCAAUAACAACUCAAAUCAAUUCAUUAAACUUUAAUAUAAGAAGAUACAAAGUAUUUCAACAUCAUUCAACUAAUUGUUUAACCACACUACUAACUACAGUUAACAAUUUUUAUUACAAUUAUUUAUUAAACUCUCACAUGAUGGUAUAUAUAUUGCAUGAAUAUCCUUUCUCCAUAAGAUAAUGGAUUUAGAGAAUUUGUAUCAUCUCUUCGAACUCACUUCAAGCACAUUUUUAAAAAUAUACUGAAAAAGGAUUGUUAGGAUAUAUAUGAGGAGGAAAAAGAUAAGUUAAGGUAAAGAAAUUUAAACUUCUUUAAGGUAAAGAAUCUCUACACUGCACAUGUAAUAUCGUUAGUUAUCUUUGAGAAGAUAUUUGAAUGGAAUAUUGACAAAAAGAUUAUGCAUUUCAUUCUGGAUAAUUGUAUAACUAAUAUUCUGUAAUCAAUCGACUGAAGCAACGAUAAUUAUUAAAAGAAAAGUUACUCUAUGUUAGAUGCACAACACAUAUUUUGAACCUUAUGAAAGAUGUUACAUCUAAGAUAAGAAAAAAUGUGAAAAAAUCACCAUUGAGACAAUAACGAUAUUUACAGUAAGUUUACGAAUAAUAUAAUUAAGUUAAUUAAUUUACUUUAUUAUGGUUUAUAAACAUUUUUUUUAAUUUAAGAAUGUGCAAAAUAAGUUUUUAUUUUGAAUCAACAGUAUAAGAUAAUAUUGUCUAAAUCAAAUUUUUAUUUUUAUUUAUGUUUAGUUUUUUUUGUUUACAUUUAAAAAAUUGUUAGGUUUAAAUAGUAAAACUUAAAUGAAUAAGUUAUAUGGUGAGUUUUAUUCAAAGUUGAAUGUCGAUAGGAUUAAAAAUAUCUUUCAACAAUUCUAUUAUAAAUAUGCAUAAUAAAUAAAUUCUAAAACUUAAAAACAUAUAUUAUUAAUAUAUGAAUUAUUCAGAUUAUAAAUUACAAUACAUACUUAUUUAAGAUUUGGUUUGUUAAAUGAUUGAUAUUAAGGUAGAGAAAAUCAAACUUUACAUUAUAAAUCAAACUUACAAUACAAGAGUCACUAUACCAGUCACGAAAGUUGCAUUAGAGUCUACUUUUAACACUAGCAGCCAUCAUUCACAAGUAUCGAAAUGUAUUGAAUUCUGAAACAAUACAAACUUUACUUUGUAACCAAAAUUGGUUGCAAAAAAAGCUCUUGGAUAAUUUAAUUUUAUUACUAAUACAGUAAUUUUCAGAAAAACCUCUUUAUAAUGAGUCAAUCAGAUCCUAACCUCAUCUCUAUUUCAUUAAAAAAAUUUCCUCCAUCUACACCAAUUUCUAGAUAUACUAUUCUUUAUUUCAAACGAGGAUCAAAAUCAAACAAUUUCUUUUUAGCUCACCAUAAAUCGACCUCUUAGAACUUUCUUCAUUACUAAUAACUAUAAUAACUUAUUAGUAUAAUUUAAUAACAAGUACUAAGUUAUCUACAAUUUUAAUAGAAACCAUGAUACUCAAAUCAAUAAACUCAAUUAGCACUCGAAAAUUAUAAGGAAAAAAAAAGAAGAUAAUUGAUUUAUUUUGAAUGUAAAUUUCUUAUAUAUUAUUUUGAUUUUAUAUUUUUUUAUUAAUUUUUUUGUAAAUAAAAGUUCUUAUUUAGAUCCAAACCCGACCAAAUAUUUCCUUUCUUCACGGGUUUCACUCUUCAACAAACCAACCGAUCGACUCACAUUCUCCAACAUUACAAGAAAGAUUGAAUCAUUCCCUACAUCAUAAAAAACAUGAAACUUUCAUUGGACAAAAUUAACGAUCAUCUAGUAUAAAUAAAGAACGACAAUCAUAAAAAAAAAUAAGUUACGAAAGAAAUACCGUUAGGGACCUUCGGACAAUGCAUCAAAAUAAUCGACUUUACAUUAAACAAACAAAAAUUAAAAAAAAACAAAAGAUAAUUUAUACAAUUCGAAAAUUUAUAUCUAGGUCUUAGAUAACACCAAUGAUCAUUUUGGAUUAACUCAAAACGAUUUUACUUUCUUUCAUCUACCUUUUAUUUGCUUGAAUAAAUAAGAAAUCAAUAUUAACUGUACACUAAUACCAAGAUGUUAAUAUAUAAAAAAUUCAUAAUCAUCGACAAUCAUAUGCAAAUUUUAAUCAAUUUUGUGCAAAAUUAAUGAAAUUAAAAAAAAAAAGCAGAGUCCUGACAUCAGAUAAUAAGCGGAGUUUUAUCAACACGAUAAAUUUCUUCAGUAUUGCAUAUGUUUAUCAUCACUUGUCAAUUACCAUCAGACGAUUUGUAAAAUGAAAAAUAAUAAUUAAACUUUCCUAGAAAAAAAUAAGAAAAGGUAUUGGAAAUUCCUCAGACGGAACUUCCUGGAAAGGAAUAUCAACGCAGACAAUCAACAUGGCAUCAGUUCAGACCGCCCGUCUGCUUAUUGUCAUCACUGGAAACUAAGAAAGUGAAAAAUGAAAAUAUGAACUAGAAAUCUACAAAAUAAGAUGAACAACCGACAACGCAAAAAGGAAAAAAUCAAAAAAAAAAACAUGGCAUCAGAUAAUAAAAGAUGAGAUCGAUAAUCGACACAGACGAUUCGGUGUGUAGGAUAAGAUCAGGCAUCACUUGCCAAAGAUCGAAGAUCAAAAAUAAAACGAUAACAAAAAAAAUCAAGAGAUGGACAAUGGAUUGUUGAGAAGACGGGAAAGAGAGAGAGAUCAAAUUUUGAUCAGAUAAACUGACAAAUAUAUAAUGGAUUUCCGCCGCCACCAGGUUACUAGGGUUUUGAUCUUCUUUAGGUUUAUUUUAUAACGACUUUAUUUUCUUUCGUAACGGUCAUGGGCCUUGAGCCCAUGAAGUCUGAACUUUACAAAAAUUAAUUAAACUUGAAGCUGGUAAACAAUGGCAAAACCGUAUAUAACUUAACAUGAUAAGGACAAGUUUGUGAGUGAAAAUAGAGGGAUUGCAUUAUUUUACUAUACUAUCCUCUAAAGUCAAAACAUGAUUAAAACAUGAUUCGACCGUGGGUAUUAUAAUUGAACCUUGUUGACUAGUUUCAACGGACCGGAUCCUCUGUCGCGUUUGGUAAAAAGCUCUUCCAUCUCCUCCAAUGAUCGACCUUUGGUCUCCGGCAAGAAGAAGUAAAAGAAUAACCAUGCCAGCACUCCAAUUCCGGCAAAUAAAAAGAAAGAUCCACCUAUCGUUAUUGCCUGGUACAACGAUACAAAGCUCAUCGACACCGUCGCAUUCAUAACUCGAUUCAUCGCAACUGCCAAACCCAUUCCCUGAGCCCGCAGUCUCGACGGAAAGAUUUCUGAACUGUAUACCCAUGUGAUCGGACCCAGUCCGAUGGAGAAGAAGGCUACGUAAGACAUAACGAAGCUUAUCGAAGCGAUAACGGCCCAUGGAACUCUUUCAUUUGAAUUAUCAACAACUGUUAGAGCCAUUCCAAGUCCACACAGUGAGACCACCAUCCCGGCAACACUGCUCAGAAGUAACGGCCUUCGACCGACUCUGUCCAGAUUGAACGUCGCUAUAAGUAUGAAGACGAUCUUGGUUACUCCAACGCCCAUGGUGGCAAGCAGAAGCUUGCUCUUUGACACUAUUCCGGAUUUCAUGAAGAUCCUCGGACUGUAGAGCACGACGGCUUCGAUUCCAGUAACGUGUUCGAAGAAGUGGAUCCCGAGGGCAGCGAGGAGGAUACUUCUGAUCGCCGGCGAGGGUUUUAGAAGUAAUUCUUUAAGAACACCCUUGCUAUUGUCUUUGGAUUUGAGUGAGACGUUUGGCUGAUCAUGGUCCAAGGAAUCCUGCUCAUUGAAUCCGGCGGCAAGCAUGAUCUCGCGGAGACGGACGUCCGACUCGUCUGGACUGUCGGAUAUCUUUUGGAGCACAGAUCUAGCGGCUCUUAUUUUUCCAUGCAUUACUAACCAUCUUGGAGAUUCCGGCAUCGUUAAGACAAUACCCAAUGCAAGUCCUAUUGCCGGAAUUGAACCUAAUCCCAGCAUUACCCGCCAUCCAUACUUUAAUGGAAGCUUGGAGAAGCCGUAGUUAGAAAUGUAACUGAACAACAUCAUCAUACGAUAUUUAAUAAUCAUCGUCCAUUGUUAUUAAUGCAAAAAAUAAAAUUACCCGAGUAAGAUACCGAAGCUGAUGCAGACCUCCGGUAAGGAGGUAAGGCUGCCACGAUUUGACGCCGAGGAGAUCUCAGCAGAAUAGACGGGUGCGAUCAUGAGUGCAAAGCCAACACCAACACCGGCGACGCAUCUUCCAGUCAUCAAAAUAGCAUAGGAAUCAGAGAGACCCAUCAGAAGAGCACCAGUAAAGAAUAUGACAGAAGCAAGCACGAUGGUGUAUCUCCGUCCAAUAACAUCGGAAGUCUUGCCGGCAACCGUUGAUCCGACCAGAGCGCACAGGUUUAAUAUCCCGUUUAGAAUUUCGAUUUGGGUGUCGGUUAUGUGUAGAUCUUGUUUUAUGAACAGCGUUGCUCCGCUCAUUACUCCCGUAUCUGCAAAGCAAACGUUAAAAGAGAAACCAUCGACGAUUGGAUGAGAAGAUCGAGGAUUACCGUAACCAAGAAGGAUCGAAAUGACCGAGGCGAUGAGACAACAAGCGGCCGAGUAGCGGUUCAGUUUCUUAUCGUCGGGAGUUGUGAUGGAUUCCAUAACUUCCAUUAAGGUUCCAAACUACUGACUGAGAUAGAAUAUAUAAAAAAAUAUUCAGAAAUGUCGUUUUUAUUUAGGUUGUUGUAUGCUUUAAACAUUUUAAUUAAGUUAUUCACUUAAAAUUUAAACAAUGAUGGACUGCACUAUAUAUAUAUACAGAAUAAUUAUCAGCUAUGUCGAGAGUGGUCAAAUUAAUACAUGCGUUCGUUAGUAUCUUUUGUAAUAUAUUAUUUUACGUCGUACAGAAAAUCUCGCUCGUAAUACUAAAUCUUAUCACUGCUGAUUAACACAUGCUUAAUAAGAGGAUUUACAUUCGGGUUAAUUUUAGUAAAAUUUCAAUGACAUUAAACUCCUUUCAAAUCUUCUACGUUAAAAAUUUAACUCUCUGAACUUACUAAAAAAAGUAAAAAUACGAUCGCUACAUUCCGACCCUUGGAUUUCCAAUUUCGAAUUUGGACCGUCCAUUGUCUACACAUGCUUGAGAAAUCCACCACCAUGUGAUCAUGUGGAGUGUAAUAGUCUAAUUCAUUAACCGCAAUUAUUUAGACAGUUGGGCGAACAGUUAGGUGAUCUAUAGCAAUCCAUGACGUCAUUUCUCAUCAAUAAUUAAUGAAUAAGACACGUCGGCAGGUUCUUUGUGAUGAGUUUAAACUUUAAAGCAUGCGUCCAAAUCAUCUAAAUUUUGGUGCGGUGGACGGUCGUUGACUUGGUUUGAUCAGUUUCAUCGGAAAACGAGGCGUCAGAUAAUGCGGGAUAUUGGAUAACUACUACCAGGCUUAGUCACGUAAUUUAAAUGUAAUUGAAUUUUUUUUGUAUAGAAAUGUGUGAAUAGAAUUAUUAACAAUAACAACAACUUUUUUUAACGAAUUCAUAUACUGACUCAAGUCUCCACUACAUAAAACAGACAGUAAAACAAAUAGACAGAUAUUUUUAUUGCAUUUCAAUGAGACUGGAAUUUCUGUGUUUUUGAUCAAUUUCAGUUAUAAAAAAAGAGUAACGAAUAAGGGUACCGUUCCGUUUAUAUUUUAUGACAGAUACUUUAUCCCAUUUUUUGUUUUUGCUUGUUGCCUCAGCCAUAUUUCAGAACGAAUACCGAGGCAGAGUCGUUCCGUUCUCACCUCUAGUGACGGAUGAUAAAAUACUAUUAUGGUAUGUAUUCGAUUUUUUUUGCAUAUAUAUAACUUGAUUGCUUGACUGAUGAUUUCAUGUUCUAAUGAAUAUUUUUAGGUCAAUUUAUCAAUAGGUUUAUAUGUUAUACAAAAUUUAUCAGGUGAGAAAGCCUUAUAUUAACUUUCCAAAUUUUGAAAUUCAAUCUUUACUCUCUUUUUUAUAGGGCGCGAUUCUGGGAUGGUCGAUUUUUCGAACGGUCCCUUUAAUUUGCAGACCUCCGAUCCGCCGUCCGUUAGCUAGAGAUUGAACUGGAGAUUGAAGCUGGUCGUUCCGAUCGCAACUGGAUCGCGAGUUCCGAUCUCCAGUUCCGAUCGGAACCCAUCGCGAGUUCCGAUCUCCAGUUCCGCGUUCGGAACUGGAGAUUGAACCCAUCGCGAGAUUGAACUGGAGAUUGAACCCAUCGCGAGAUGGAACUGGAGAGUGAACCCAUCGCGAGUUCCGAUCUCCAGUUCCGCGAACGGAACUGCGAUCGAGUUCCGAGAUUGAACUGGAAAUUGAACCCAUCGCGAGAUGGAACUGGAGAUUGAACCCAUCACGAGUUUCGAUCUCCAGUUCCGCGAUCUCCAACAGGAGGCGAUAACCUGGAGGUGGUCUGGUUCGAUCCCUUCACUCGCUCCAGAAUAACCGGAGGUUCUUUAGGAGGGUUUGUUGCAUCUUGAAGGUGAGAUUUGAUUGGGGAAGGUUAUAGAAGAGGGGGGGAGAAGAAAUCGACGGAAGAAUAUAAAUAUACCGGAGUGAUUUAUAUUUUAACACUUCACUCCGGUUCACAGACGGUCCGCAUGGGACGGAUACCCGUCUGUGAUCUGGAGUGCUUUUUUAUAAUAGUUUUUUAGGAAAUGAAUAGUUGAUACCUUUCUCUCCAUCUUUUUUUUUCAUCUUAUUUUUUGUCUCUUCCUUUUGUUUUUUGUCAUCAUUUAAUGUUUGUGACACCCAUCAUCCACAUUCCAUCAGCUUUUAUGUCUCCAUCGUCAUUCAUUCGAUUUUGUUUGUUUAAUGUUUAUAAUUCAAUAAAAUAAGGCUUCCAAUAUAACUGGUGGUGAUACAGUAUCCCGUAUUUGUUCACAACACAACACAACAACAACUAAAGAUUCGAAUAACCCAACAUGAAUCGAGAUGCCUAAUUAGGUUUGAGAAGGUUCCAAAUCAACUCUUGGGAAGUUCGACUUUCCUAAAGUUCGACUUUUCUAGAAUUCGACUUUUUCAAAAAUCGAGCUCUAGAAAAGUCGAACCCUGAGAAAGUCAAUCCCAGAAAAUCGACUUGAGAUCAGAUCUGGGCAGUUAGGCGGUUACGACCCAAAUGACCAGAUUGCUCCAUAAAAAGUCUUAUAAAUAGGAAGUACCAUUCAUUCAUUUGGACAGGUCAUUCAGUGUGAAGAAAUCCCAGCGAAGCAGAGCUCUGAGCAACUGAGGAGUUCGGGUUGAUUUCCCUGCGGAGUUCCCCGCCUGACGCUUGUUCGAAGCGUCGACGAACACUGAUCGGGUUCCACCCUCAUCAGUUGACGUCGUCUAUGAUUCAAAGAUACUUAUGACAAAAGCUCUUCGACUUUCGUGAAAAAAGGGUUCGACUUUUUUUCGAGUCGUCAACUAAGGAGCCUUGCUCGGAAAUCACUCUAAUGGAGUUCGACUUUCGUGAAAAAAAGGUUCGACUUUUUUCUAAACAAAAUUGACUUCCUCAGAAGUCAACUGCUUCUUCAGUUGAACUUCAACUUGGAAUCAACUUUUCCAAGGCUUAGAAUUAGUCUUUUUUCAAAAAGUCAAAUUCCUCAGCUUUCGGAUAAAAUCUCCUCCAAAGAUCGACUUUCACACAAGUCGACUUUUUUCAGACCACAGUUCAACUUUUUCAGAAAAAUCGAAUACUUUGUGGUGACACCAGGGUAGGAAUCCCUACCACGAUGAGCAAAGGAGGGGGAAUACUGGUGAUGCAGGAUCUAACACUCAGAUCGCAUCAACAAGAUCAGGAUGCAUUCCCCCAGGAAACCUAGUACGUAUCGAAAGGGGAGAGUACUGGUGAUACAGUAUCCGAGACUUGAUCACGACACCAGCAAUCAGAGAUUGAGAUAGUCCGGAAUGGAUGGUGAACACCUGUAUAAGCGAUGGGAGAC